rnacentral:rRNA from 1 species
AUUGAACGCUGGCGGCAGGCUUAACACAUGCAAGUCGAGCGGGGUGAUGGUGCUUGCACUAUCACUUAGCGGCGGACGGGUGAGUAAUGCUUAGGAAUCUGCCUAUUAGUGGGGGACAACAUCUCGAAAGGGAUGCUAAUACCGCAUACGUCCUACGGGAGAAAGCAGGGGAUCACUUGUGACCUUGCGCUAAUAGAUGAGCCUAAGUCGGAUUAGCUAGUUGGUGGGGUAAAGGCCUACCAAGGCGACGAUCUGUAGCGGGUCUGAGAGGAUGAUACGCCACACUGGGAGUGAGACACGGCCCAGACUCCUACGGGAGGCAGCAGUGGGGAAUAUUGGACAAUGGGGGGAACCCUGAUCCAGACAUGCCGCGUGUGUGAAGAAGGCCUUAUGGUUGUAAAGCACUUUAAGCGAGGAGGAGGCUCUUUUGGUUAAUACCCAAGAUGAGUGGACGUUACUCGCAGAAUAAGCACCGGCUAACUCUGUGCCAGCCGCCGCAGUAA